AAAUUGAAGAGUUUGAUCAUGGCUCAGAUUGAACGCUGGCGGCAGGCCUAACACAUGCAAGUCGAACGGUAACAGGAAGCAGCUUGCUGCUUYGCUGACGAGUGGCGGACGGGUGAGUAAUGUCUGGGAAACUGCCUGAUGGAGGGGGAUAACUACUGGAAACGGUGGCUAAUACCGCAUAACGUCGCAAGACCAAAGAGGGGGACCUUCGGGCCUCUUGCCAUCAGAUGUGC
rnacentral:rRNA from 1 species